rnacentral:sRNA from 1 species
AAACUAGGGACACGUUGUUGCUGGUGUA